rnacentral:misc_RNA from 1 species
GAUGAAGAACGUAGCGAAAUGCGAUAAGUAGUGUGAAUUGCAGAAUUUAGUGAAUCAUCGAAUCUUUGAACGCACAUUGCGCCCUUUGGUAUUCCUUAGGGCAUGCCUGUUCGAGCGUCAUUUAAACCUUCAAGCUAAGCUUGGUGUUGGGUGACUGUCCGCUUCACUGCGGACUCGCCUCAAAAUUAUUGGCGGCCGGUACAUUGGCUUCGAGCGCAGCAGAAACGCGAACUCGGGCCCGUCGUAUUGGCUCCCAGAAGCUAUCUUCACAAUUUUGACCUCGGAUCAGGUAGGGAUACCCGCUGAACUUAAGCAUAUCAAUAAGCGGAGGA